ACACACACACACACACACACACACACACACACACACACACACACACACACACACACACACACACACACACACACACACACACAAAGAAUUUUAGUUGUUUGUAUCCUAAAUAUAAUAAUCCUUUUAUAAAUCACCUAUCUUGUCCUCCAGGUGUGGCAAGAGGUGAGUGAGAGUGGACGUGACUUCGUGCGGGGCGUGCUUGAGGUGGAUCCUCAGGCGAGACUAACUGCAGUGGAAGCUCUGCGUCAUCAGUGGAUCUUAGCCAACCACUCUCCAAAAACGAGACAGGCAUCAUCUCCUGGAGGGUCAUGGGGCAGGCGUUCCUCCUCACGUUCAUCACAUUCAUCUCGUUCAGCAAGAUCAGCGACUUCUUUGCGCACAGAUCGAAGACGUGUCAAACCUCAGGAAUUAGAGAGGCUCAACCAGACUGGAAAUUCAUCAAUAUCACAUCCCACACAUCGUGCUGUCUAUAUGUCCUGAGAGAAAGUUUUAUAUUCUAAAGAUUUUAAGGUAAAUUUCACAAUAUAUUUAUAACUGUGUGAGGAAAUUUUCUUUUUGUGAACUGCAGUUGAAUUGUACUAGGUAACAAGUGAUUUAUAUGAAGACAUUGGCUAUUGUAUGAUGUUGAUGUGCAUUUAGAGCUAACAGUAUUUGACCAGUGUUUUGUUUGUUGCCAUAUACUCUAUACAUACAUAUACACCCAUAACUAUUUUGAUAGUGAAGAUCUCUUAGUUGGUGCAGUUAUAACAUUGUCCUGUAGUACAAAUUACAUCUCUGAGAUAUUGUUCCAGUGCUGAAGAUGCAACAGAAACUCUUACAGAAUAUAAAUUAAAAUACUGUAAAGAAAGUUCUUGUAUUAAUAACUGUAGAACUGAAUGUGUUUGCUCUGAUUGUACAAUGCAGAAUUUAUUGAAUUUCUCAUAUUUAGUGUUGGUAUUUGUGGAAUUAUUACUCAGAUAUUAUCAAAGCUCAAAACUAUGAGACAUUUUGUUUACUUAGAGUCUGCUCCUGAUGCAUUUAGUACUUAGUGUUGUGGUUGGCUUGAACAGUAUUCCCAGCAUUAUAUCUGGAUUUUUGUUAAAUGUAUCGAGAAGUGUUAGCAUAAAUGUCUCUGCAUGUGUGUUUGUGUGUGUGUGUGUGUGUGUGUGGAUGUGUGUAUAUAGCUAGUAUUGAUUUAGAGAAGGAAUAUUUUUUUUAAAAGAAUAUAUUGAUAGGCUAAAGGUUAUAGUGCUAUAUAUAGGAUUGGUUUUGAAUAUUUUGUACAUAUUUGUAAAGAAGUGAAUACUUUUGAAGGAAUUAUCAAUUUUACAAAUAGCAUUAAUGGAAUUCGCAAGAGUAAAAGGAUCAAAUACUAUAUGCAUUUCAAUUAAGAGGAGGGGGAUGUGAUCCCAUUUUGGAAUUGUGAUAGUUCGAGAAGUUCUCGUAAGAAACUAAACACGUCUAUGUAGUAUUCCUCCUUUUUUGGAAACUGAAUUUGUGAAGCAGAUGGUUCCAUAUUUUCUCUCUUCUUGGCUAUCAAUGAUUAUUUCUCCUUAAAAUGGUUAAAGUGCUGAAAAUUAACCCUGAGCCAAUGUAUUUGAUUGUAUUUGCAGUGUUGUUAUAAAUGAUAGUUACCUGAAGCAAGAAACUAUAGAACUAAGUUAUCUGAAGUUUAUUAAAAUGAAGAAAUAUAUAUCUAUAAUUUUGCAGAAAUUACAAAUAUAGAAUUUAUACUAACCAUGACAUACUGUAUUCAGCCAUUGGUAAAAAAUCAUGCUUAAAAAGGCUGAUGAGAUUAAUGUUUGUAUAAAACUUAGUGCAAAAGAAUUUCCUUUGAAGUUGAUGCUUUUAGCCUUUGGCUGAAGGUUUAAUGUUUAAUUUUCCUUAAAAGUGCUGAAUUUUGUUCUUUUGCUGAUCAUAUUUUUAGUUUUGGUACCAUGACUAUCAUCUUGAUUUGAAGAGGGAAAAAUAGGUGUAGUUGCUAAAUACAAUUUAUAUGAAUACUGGAAUAAAGCUUUAUUAUUGUUUAUAAUUUGUGGCUCAGUAGAAAUGUCUACUCUAUUUUUGGGGUAAAGAGUCGUUACUGUGGAGGUCUUUGAAACCAUGUCAAUUUAUUUUUUAAAAGAUAUUCAGUUAAUUUGAUAAAACUAUUGAAAUAAAUGUGUGGAUCCCCUCCAUCUCAGGCAUUAUUCUUUGGCAAUGAAAUAUAGAUUUUGAUAUAGGAUUGCUGUCAGAAAUCUGGAUAUUAAUAUACUCUGACUUUUCUUGUGAUAUUCCUUAAUGUUAUGUUGUUAUAUUCCAUGUUACUCCUUAAUGUCAUAAUUUCUCCCAUAGAAUAGCACUUUCUGUAAUGCUCAUUGAAUGGUGGUUAGAUUUUGUGACUUGUUUUAAGAACUCGUUUUAAAAUCUGGACCGUAUUUUGAAGUCGGUGAAUGGAAUUCACGUGACGGUUAUAUUGCUAGUUUGAGUCUCCAAAAGAAGUAAUUAAUAUAUUAAUAAUUACUUUCAUUGGAUUACUGGCCGGGUGACUGAUUAUGAUCAUCAUCUUAAUAUAUACUCUUUGAUAUUCAUUAAACUAGAUCAUACUCAUUGAAGCUGACGUACACAGUUUGAGAUUAAUAGACUAAAUUCAUUUUUAUGACCUCAUAAUAUUUAUUCACUGUGUCUCAGAUAGCAAUUAUAAGCUGAACACAAAAUGAGUUUGGUGACUGUGCAUGAAUUACAUAACUAUAUUUGGAAAGCUACAAAAAGAUUAGAUUAUUUUUAGUCUUUUUUAGUUCCCCCUUUCUUAAUAACAGAUGUAUAUGUAUAUAUAAAUAUACAUUUCUAUUUUAUUUGUAGAGAAUAUAUUGAAAUACCUUUUUGAAAUUGGUAUAAUUUAUUCUUAACAUAUAGCAAAAUAAGUUUAUUUUGUAUUUAUUACUGAUCUAUAGUGAUAUUCUUUUCAGUUUGUUUUAAGGAUAUGUUUCUUCAUAGAUAAUUGAUAGGCCUGAAAUUGAAUAAAAUGAUUUCCAAAGAUUUUUGGUAUAAUUGAAAAAUACCAUUACGGCUUGUAGUAAUUCAUUGCCUGGCUGUGCCAGGUUCAGAAUAUAGCAUUUUUAUUUUGUGUUAGGUAUGGAUUAUUUUAAGAGUAUUUUAUUUUAUGAUAUUAGAAGAACUUAAUAAGUCAUGUGUAGUACAAUAUUUAUCGUCUCUACUUUUAUUUAGUUCAAGAUAUAAUUGCUUGAAUUUUGAAGGAGAUAUGCAUCAUUAUUUUACAAAUGCUAUUCACUAAAUAUUUAUUUUUUGUGAACCUAAACAUUUGGAAAUAAAACGUGAAUAAUA
rnacentral:lncRNA from 1 species